GCGUUUGGACAAUGCUCUCGGGCACAUGGUGUGGUUCUUGGGGUGUCCUGUGCAGGGCCAGGAGUUGGACUCGAUGAUCCCUGUGGGCUCGUUCCAGCCUGGGAUAUCCUGUGGUUCUGUGGCACAGGUGUGAGGGAGGCCGCGGGAAGGGCGUGUCGCAGCGCCCCUGGGCCAGGGCCCGCCGGGGGACCGGGCGUGUCCCUCAGCCUGGCGGGAUGAGGAGGCCCGGGAGCGAUGAGGAAUCCAGCGGGGCUCGGGGAGCUGGGGAUUCCUAAACCCUCUGUGUGAGGGAUGCGGGACGGAGCCCGCGGGGGUGCUGGGGCCUGCUUAUCGUGGCCAGUGGGUUGCCAGGGAUUGUCUCUUGUCUCUCAGUUGUCUCUUCUUACCAGGAGCAGUCCUGCCUGCCCCUCCCACAGCUCCAAGUCCACAAGGCACUGACUUUCUGGAGCUUUGUAAACCCCGCAGAACAUCUGUGUAAAUCAAGACAUUUAUUUCUGCACCUUUGCUAAGGCCAACUGGCCUCCCUUACUCACUUGAAGCUGAAAUGGGAUCAACAAGACUUUGCAGAACAUCCUUCCACUCAUGUCCGAUGGGCUUCUUCUUUCCUCCAGGUGGGAAAAAUGCAGGGACAAUGACUGAAGAGCUGCGUGGAAGAGAGAAGGUUAUGACAGAGAUGGUCCCAUCAUCCACUGGCCACUCUCCAAACGGACAAAAGAGAAGAGAGGCAAUGGGUUGAGCACAAAAAUGGCCUGGAAGGAGGAUGCUCCAAACUAUCUGAGACCUGCAAUAAAAUAUGCAGGAAGUUAUUGCUGCUUCAAGUGGCAUUAAGUCCUACCCAGUGCCCAAUGUGAGUCACAGAGCACACACAAGCUCCAGUGGUGGCAGCAGCACAGCCUCUGCAGCUGUAGAGGGGUGGAAGCACCAGGCAGCAAGGGGAAGGCUGUCAUUUUGGAAAGGGAUGUGCUGGAUGGGAGGAGUGCAGCCAGACAAGCACAGGAGCCUUGGUCCCUCCAGCCAGGCACAAGGCUGGCUUCCUGGCUCCAGCACUCCCUCUGGACCCCCCUUGGAUGGUCUGUCAUUAAUUUAGUGACUGACUUGAACUUCAGCACUUAAAAGUGUGGAUAUUUCAGCACCUUAACAGUAACUGGAUCCUAUCCACUACUUAGCAGUGAUUUCAGACACUGACUUGAAUGAAACCUUUUCCCACAAUGUUCAAAUUCAGUUCUCAACAGCAAAAGGGUAAGAGGUUCAGUAAUAACACAGGAACAGGUGACCACUGAGAUGUGAAUAAAAUAGAGCAAAAUCAUGGUCUGUGUAUUGCCUUUCAUUACACCAGGACAUCUGUAGUGUGGAAAACUAAAUGAAAGACCUGGCAAAUAUGAAAGAGUAAAAUACCUCCAGCUGCACAUAAUAAAGCUGCAAUAGCAUUAGGGAGUCCUGGAGUCAUUACAAACUACAGAUACAAGGCUCCAUGGGUUGUUUACUUUCAUGAGGGACACAGGGCAAAAUUAUAUGUGCUCUGAAUAUGUGUAGCUUUUGUAAAUAUAUUAUUAGUUACAGUCAAGAUUCUGAUUUUGCCGUAAGAAUCAUGAGAAAGUACAGUCUUAGUGAAAAGUUAAGGAACUCAUAAUUUGCCCAAAUACUUUAAACCUGCAAACAAAUUAGCUUUUUCUUUUAAUUUGAAUAGCAACUCAUACCCCUUGUGAAUACUCUUAUCAUGUAUAUGCAAAACAAAAAAAAGUUUUAGAUACGCUUAACAGGCCAGAAUUUGUCUCAAGGUCAGUUGUACUGAUAUUUUUUUCCCUAAAUGUAAUUAAGUUUGUGUCUUCACAUUUUCUGAGUAACUGAAGAUUUUUAUUGUUUUGAUGCCAGUAUGAGGAACUGCCAUAAGAAUGCCCGUGUAGGAACUUCAUAUGGAAA